AGCUUCAUGGCGCAGUGGAAGCGCGCCGGGCUCAUAACCCGGAGGACCUCUGAUCGAAACGGAGUGAAGCUA
rnacentral:tRNA from 8 species